AUCGACAAAACGUCGUCAUUUUUGCAUUUUCUCACCACGUCGGCGUGCAAAACGAAGCGUUUUGCACCCAACUCGCCGGAAAAUUGCCACAUCAACCAUUCGGUCGGAUUUUUGCCGAGUGGCACUUAAGUGUUCUACUUUACUCCGAAACUGGCACUUAAGUGUACCUUUCCGAAGUUAUAGUACUUAAGUGUCCUUCCAUGCCAAAUUAUGACACUUGAGCUGUUCUUCUACCCUAAGUUAACCACCCUUAGCCUUCUCAAGUUGCCGAAAUUCAGGAGGUUCUUCUUACCUGAGAAAUACUCUAUGAUAUUCCCGUGCUCCGAGGACUCCCCAUCCUUGCAAGUCUUGAGAAUACAGAGCUGUGGAGUAGAGCCAGACCAAGUCCUAGGUGGCGGGCGUUACUACGAAGUGAAAAGAAUUAUGCAACAGUUGCCGCGGAGACUCCGUUUCAAGAAACAGAGAGCAUCGAAGGCUCUCGGUGAUUCUAGUUGAAUCCUUUCCUCUCACUUGGCUGCUCGUCGUCACCGCUUCCCAAUCACCACUUGUUCCACUGCCGCGAAGAAGUUCUAUAAUGUCGGAGUGCUUGAACUUCGGUCACGACUGCCUACUUCGACGAUUCCAUCCCUUGAUGUUGCUUCUGUUAUUUCUUUACUCAUAUCCGAUCUCAAUUACUAUAGCUAAUCGUUCUCUAUUCAACUAAACCAUAUAUGCUCUGUUUUUUCGUUCCUAUUCUACUGUCUGUGUGCAAAUCGACUAUGAUUGAAGGGUUGUAUUAAUAAUUUGAAGCGGUGCUCCUCGGCCGAAAUUAAUGUGUGCAACCUGUUUGAUGAAAUUCCUGAACUAAGUCAGUGUGUAUUUUUUAUUCAGUUCUUGAUCGAGAAUUCCCUUGAUUACUA